AUUGAACGCUGGCGGCAGGCCUAACACAUGCAAGUCGAGCGCGAAAGUCUUCGGAUGAGUAAAGCGGCGAACGGGUGAGUAACGCGUGGGAAUCUGCCCAGUAGUGGGGGACAACAGCCGGAAACGGCUGCUAAUACCGCAUACGCCCUACGGGGGAAAGGGGGGGAUCUUCGGACCUCUCGCUAUUGGAUGAGCCCGCGUCGGGUUAGCUAGUCGGUGAGGUAAAGGCUCACCAAGGCGACGAUCCGUAACUGGUCUGAGAGGAUGAUCAGUCACACUGGAACUGAGACACGGUCCAGACUCCUACGGGAGGCAGCAGUGGGGAAUAUUGGACAAUGGGGGCAACCCUGAUCCAGCCACGCCGCGUGUGUGAAGAAGGCCCUAGGGUUGUAAAGCACUUUCAGUGGGGAGAAAAGUGAUUCACCUAAUACGUGAGUCAAUUGAUGUUACCCACAGAAGAAGCACCGGCUAACUCCGUGCCAGCCGCCGCCGUAA
rnacentral:rRNA from 1 species